CUUUAUAUAUAGCCUAAAAAUAUUCCGCCAAGCAAAACACCGAACCCCAACACCAACACCAGAUAGACGAUGGGCACCAUACUCAUCGCCAUGUCUUUUCUGCUGGUGUUCUCAGCGGCUGCGCCGCAAGCAUCAGCCGCAGCCGCCGGAGGGAUAUUGCAGAUUCCUUCUAGUGACUCCUUGGCUCACUGCAUCCCAAGGUGCGGGGACGUCGAUAUCUUCUAUCCCUUCGGUAUAGGGCCCGGCUGCUUCCGUCAAGGUUUCGAUCUCACCUGCAACCACUCCACCAAGCAUCCCAAGCUCUUUUUAGGCAGCAGCACUGUCCCGGUUACUGACAUGUACUACGACUAUGCUUCUACCCCUAUAAACAUCAAGCUUGCAACAAGGCCAGGUACAGAUACCUACAACAUGUCAUGGGAGGCCCCUUCUAAAGGUAUUACUAUCAGCAGUGAUAAUACUUUGUACGUAGUUGGUUGUGAUUUUGACUUCACCUUGUUCGAGCAUGGUACGGGAGACUUGGUUAGUUCUCGUAUGAGUAGAUGCGCCGGCGAGAAGGCAGCAACUGGAGGAUUUUGUAAUGGGAUAGGUUGCUGCCUCAUCCCGUUACCAAGGGACCUGCAAGGCUUUCAGGCAGAACUUGUCAGCACUAAUAUAACUGCAACCCAAUCAGAUUGGUUGCACCCUGGUAUCAUGGCUGUCGUGUCACGGGCUGAUUAUUACAUGUAUAAUACAACCAAUAUUUUCUCAAGUUGGACAGAUGCAAGCAAUAUAGAUGAUGCGAUGCUUAGUGUUACCAUCAUGGACCAACCAAGCUGUCAAAGUCCACAAAUGAACAAUGCAAGCUAUGCCUGUAGCAACGAUAGCAGUUGCCAAAAUUCCUCAUCUGGUCGUGGUUACGGGUGUUACUGCUCUCCUUAUGAACAAGGCAACCCUUACAUUUUAGAUGGAUGCCUGGAAGGUACUUCCAUCCCUACUUUUUCUCCAAAAUGAUUUAAAAUUCCCUUCUAUUUAGCCUUCAUCCUCUUGGUCUUACUAUUUGUGUCUAUCUACUGUGAAGCGGAUUAUAACCCCAAGCCCAAAGAACACUGUCCCCCAUCAUGUGGACGCAUUACUGUUCCCUUCCCCUUUGGGCUCGAAGAAGGGUGUUUCGCAAAUGAAGAAUUGCAUCUUAAUUGUACAUCUGGUAAUCUCACAGAUUUCGUCUCAGAAGAUACACAAUAUCAUGUGACUGAUGUAUCCGUGGAAGAUGGGACUCUGACUGUUAGCAACAGGGUGAACAGCAGUAAUGACAAUAAUGGAUAUGUAUUGGAGGCCCCUAUGCAAAAUCGAUUAGAUUUCUCUAUGAAAUACGACAUUGUUAUAAAGUGGGUGAUUUCCAAUUUAACUUGUCAAACAGCUAUGCGAAAGGAUACUAUGUAUGCAUGCCGCAGUUCCAACAGCUAUUGCCUAAAUGUCACUGACGGGGAAAUAUUUAUGGGAUACCGUUGCAAGUGUUCGUCAGGCUUUCAAGGAAAUCCAUACGUCAAGGAUGGCUGCACAGACAUCGAUGAAUGUGGACUAUCAAACUAUUGCAAUGGGACAUGUCAAAAUUUUCCCGGAGGCUACAACUGCACGAGUUGCCUUCAUGGAAAAGAGUUUGAUCCCAUAAAAAGGCAGUGUGUUACAUCAACAAAGGAACACAAUCUUCUUUUGGGCAUCACAAUUGGAACUGGAUGUGGCCUUGGCUCCAUAAUUAUUGCAGUUUGUGUAUUUGUAUUCGCCAACAAGUGGAAGAAAGGCAUCCAGAAGAGAAUCCGACGAGCACACUUCAAGAAAAAUCAAGGCCUACUCUUGGAGCAGCUGAUCUCAGAUGAAAGCGCCACAAACAAAACAAAGAUAUUCUCCUUGGAGGAACUAGAGAAGGCAACCAACAACUUCGAUGCCACUCGUGUUCUUGGUCGUGGUGGACAUGGGACAGUUUAUAAAGGGAUCCUAUCUGACCAACGGGUGGUGGCUAUUAAAAAAUCCAAAAUUGUGGAGCAAACUGAGAUAGACCAGUUUAUCAAUGAGGUUGCUAUCUUGUCUCAAAUCAUUCACCGCAAUGUCGUCAAGCUAUUUGGUUGUUGCCUUGAAUCUGAGGUGCCUUUGCUGGUUUACGAGUUCAUAUCUAAUGGUACACUACACGACCUUCUUCAUAUUGAUGUUAGUCUCGAAUGCUUGUUGUCUUGGGAUGAUCGCAUUAGGAUUGCAGUAGAAGCAGCAGGGGCACUUGCUUAUCUACACUCAGCUGCUGCAAUACCAAUUUUCCAUAGAGACGUGAAAUCUUCUAACAUACUGUUGGAUAGCAGCUUCGCUACAAAGGUUUCCGACUUUGGUGCUUCAAGGUCUCUCUCACUCGAUGAGACUCAUGUGGUUACUAUUGUCCAAGGAACAUUUGGUUACCUAGAUCCAAAGCUAACUGAAAAGAGUGAUGUGUAUAGUUUUGGAGUAAUACUUGUUGAACUUCUGAUAAGAAAAAAGCCAUUUUUUAUCAAUGAUCUUGGUGCAAAACAAAACGUGUCCCAUUAUUUCGUGGAAGGAUUGCAAGAGGGAGCUAUCAUGGAAAUAAUGGAUCCUCAGGUUGUCAAAGAGGCAAACCGAGAAGAGAUUGAUGAUAUUUGCUCACUUGCAGAAGCAUGCUUGAGACUCAAAGGAAGAGACAGACCUACUAUGAAAGAAGUAGAUAUGAGGUUGCAAUUCCUGACAACAAAAAGGCUAAGAAAAUGCAAAAUUCUCCCAGCUAAAGAUGAAGAGAUUGAGCCUUUUUUAUGCCCACAGGUUGGUAAUUCCGAUGCACCAAUGAAUGUUGUCAAUGCUGGCAAUUCAACAUCAAAAGGCAUCUCUAGUUGCUACAGUCUAGAGCAAGAACUUCCAUCCUCGGUCACUUUGCCACGCUAAGUAUAUAUGCGCAACAGCAAAUCAUGUCGUUCGUAGUAUUCAUUUGAAUUACCAUUUAUUUUCUACGGACUCAUAUUAUGUUACAUAGUUCACUUGAGACGAGAGUAUGUCAUGUAGCUCUGCUUCCUGUAUUGUUGCAAAUAUUUUUUUUGAAACAAGGCAAAAGAUUUGCCAUCUUCAUUGAUUAAGGAAGAAGGUUUAAG
rnacentral:rRNA from 1 species